CCUACGGGAGGCAGCAGUAGGGAAUCUUUCACAAUGGGCGAAAGCCUGAUCGAGCAACGCCGCGUGCAGGAUGAAGGCCUUCGGGUUGUAAACUGCUUUUAUAAGCGAGGAAUAUGAUGGUAACUUAUGAAUAAGGAUCGGAUAAUUACGUGCCAGCAGCCGCGGUCAUACGUAGGAUCCGAGCAUUAUCCGGAGUGAACGGGUGUAAAGAGUUGCGUAUGGGGGAUAAAUAGUAGCGAGUGAAACCUGUUGUGUCAACCAUUGAGACUAUAAGCUAAACUGUUAAGCUCGAGAUCGUUAGGGGCAUGUGGAAUGUAUAGUGUAGGGGUGAAAUGCGUAGAGAUUAGAAGGAACACCAAUAGCGAAGGCAGGAUGCUGGGACGGUACUGACACUGAGGCACGAAAGCGUAGGGAGCAAACGGGAUUAGAUACCCGAGUAGUC
rnacentral:rRNA from 1 species